AGUGAACGCUGGCGGUAGGCCUAACACAUGCAAGUCGAACGGCAGCACAGUAAGAGCUUGCUCUUACGGGUGGCGAGUGGCGGACGGGUGAGGAAUACAUCGGAAUCUACUUUUUCGUGGGGGAUAACGUAGGGAAACUUACGCUAAUACCGCAUACGACCUACGGGUGAAAGCAGGGGAUCUUCGGACCUUGCGCGAUUGAAUGAGCCGAUGUCGGAUUAGCUAGUGGGCGGGGUAAAGGCCCACCAAGGCGACGAUCCGUAGCUGGUCUGAGAGGAUGAUCAGCCAAACUGGAACUGAGACACGGCCCAGACUCCUACGGGAGGAAGAAGUGGGGAAUAUUGGACAAUGGGCGCAAGCCUGAUCCAGCCAUACCGCGUGGGGGAAGAAGGCCUUCGGGUUGUAAAGCCCGUUUGUUGGGAAAGAAAAGCAGCAGGUUAAUACCCCGCUGUUCUGACGGUACCCAAAGAAUAAGCACCGGCUAACUUCGUG
rnacentral:rRNA from 1 species